GAGGGUAUAGCUCAAGUGGUAGAGCACAUGCUUAGCAUGCUUGAGGUCCUGGGUUCAAUCCCCAGUACCUCCU
rnacentral:tRNA from 1 species